UCAGCAGACUUUGGGUGGGGCAGCGAGGAGGGACUGGCACCGGAGCUCCAGGGCUCCUUCCUCCUGGGGCGUUCAAGCCAGCAGCAAGCUUCAGCUCACUUCGAGGGCGCCGUCUGCCAGUUUGACCUGGUUCCUUCUGCACAGGCAGCUCACAACUACUGCAGGUACAUUAAGAAACAGUGCAGGGAAGCCGACACGUACAGGCCUAACCUCCCCCCUCUGCUGCCUAUCCUACCACGAGAGAGAAACAUCACAGCUACUGCUGCUACCCCUAAACGCGCCGGCCCGGUAACCGCCAGGAAAACCACGGGGUUCAGCCUCGCCAGGAGUGUCGCCGCCGCUGCCUCGGCUGUCAGACACGCGGCCUCCUCCCAAACGGUGAGGCCGAGCCACGGCACCGUUUCCACCCCGCUGCUGGGUACCGCCAUGCCGGUCACGGUCCAGCUCGGUUUGGUUUCCCCACCUCUCAAGACCAGGGCCGAAACCGUCACGGCCCCACUCAGGACAGCAGCGCCACCCACAAGACCACCGACCCCCAAGCCCACGACUUCUAAAACUACGAACCAGAAGCCCGUUAAGCCCACUUCCCCGAAGCCCACCCCUCAGAACAGCUCGAAAAAGGCAGUGACGGGAACAGACAAGCAGAAGAAGCCAACGGUUCCUGCUACAUCCAGCCCCAAACCCUCCAAGACACAGUCUGACUCUGUCCUCGUCAACCAAGGUGCCGUCACCAAGAAACCGCAGCCCACCACAGCCAAGAAGCCAUCUCCCAAACCCAAAGUCGCACCGUCCAAAGCCACUCCGUCCAAACCUAGCACCAGCCCCGUCAAGAUUGUCCCUUCAAAACCAACAAUAUCCAAAAUCACUCCCUCAAAGUCAACAAUCAACAAAACUGCGGCGUCUAAAACCCCCAAGCCAGUCUCUAAACCCAUUACCAAGCCAACCAAGCAGACCAGAACUACCAAGGCUCCAGUCACCGUGCGGCCGACCAAGCCUCCGUACAACCGGGUAACGCCGCCUGCUACCGACGGCUUCCUGAGCUGGGAGGUGCCGCCGACACAGUUCUCCCUGCUGGCUGGACCUGUGGGACAGAAAGGAGAAAUAGGCAUGCCGGGACUGCCGGGACCUCCAGGGAAGACGGGCCUGCCAGGCAAGAGGGGUGAUCGAGGUGCUCCUGGUCCUCAAGGAAACCCCGGCCGAUCUGGUCCACCCG
rnacentral:lncRNA from 1 species